CGAAUAGAGAAAGAAAAAACUGUAAUGUCCCCGAAAGGGCAAUUUUUUGUACAGUACAGGCAUAUUGACACAUAAUCCACAACACAAACAUUGAACCAGACAUCUACAGCACCAGUAAUCUAACACAUAACACACACACACAUCAUAAAACAGAAUACAGUAAAAAGGAGUACCAUGUGUUGCACUUCCCUAAAGGCCUUAUGUCAUAAAUAAAUAAAACUACUACACAGUACUUCACAUAUAUUCGUCCUCCAGUCAUACCCCUCCCCACUUCUUAUUUAAUUGGGUUAUUGCCAUGGGAAUGAGUUAUUUGCUCUGUUGGUUUUAACAUUAGGGUAUCUACUGUAUAUCUACAACCAGAAGGGAGUGGCUUAAACUCCACUGAAA